rnacentral:rRNA from 1 species
CAAUCUUUGACGCAAAUUGCGCUCCUGGGUAGCCCUAGGAGCACGCCUCUCUCAGUAUCGGUUCAACAAUAUAUCAGCAGCGUGUUUUUGUUUAUUCAAAAAUUGCGUGUUGGCUGGAGAAUGAGAGUCUGUUCGCUUUGCGGGCAGUCUCUUUAAGUACAUGGAGUUUUAAUUAAUAAUUACUUUUCGAUCAGUUCAAUUAUUUCGGUAGUUGAUAGUUAGUCUUCUGACUGUUGUUCGUUUAGUGACGUGAAUAUUGAUCCUCGUGAUCUAACUUUUACGUUUAUCUAAAUGGAUAACACAUAGUUAGUCGAUUGGCGAACGUGAGAAAAACAUUAAUUUAACGCGAGAAAACCAUACGAUAAGUUUAAUAAUUUAAUUAUUAAGCGAAUCUGAAUUUUGAUCUGAGAUGAAGUGAGACAACCCCCUGAAUUUAAGCAUAUUAAUAAGGGGAGGAAAAGAAACUAACAAGGAUUCCCCUAGUAACGGCGAGUGAAGCGGGAAGAGCUCAAUUUGAAAAUCGAUUUCCUCAACGGGACGUCGAGUUGUAGCCUAGAGACGUACUAUCAGUUGAAACCUGGGUAGAAGUUCUUUGGAAUGAGGCAUCAUAGAGGGUGAGAAUCCCGUAUAUGACCCAAAGUUUUCAACGUACGAUGUAUGUUCAUCGAGUCGAGUUGUUUGGGAUUGCAGCUCUAAAUGGGUGGUAGUUUCAUCUAAGCUAAUAUAUGCG